rnacentral:rRNA from 1 species
GUGUCAGCAGCCGCGGUAAUACGAAGGGGGCUAGCGUUGCUCGGAAUCACUGGGCGUAAAGGGCGCGUAGGCGGACUCUUAAGUCGGGGGUGAAAGCCCAGGGCUCAACCCUGGAAUUGCCUUCGAUACUGGGAGUCUUGAGUUCGGAAGAGGUUGGUGGAACUGCGAGUGUAGAGGUGAAAUUCGUAGAUAUUCGCAAGAACACCGGUGGCGAAGGCGGCCAAC